GUGUAAGCCCCAAAAUGUCUUGACAAUAUAGAUACCAAGGCCAGAGAGUAGAUACGUUGGGUUUUCAUGUUUUUUUUUUCAUGUUUGUGGUGGAGAAGCCUUGUCAAAUUAUCACUUGGCUCUCGAAACUACCCAUGGAAAUACUGACACAACCUCCAAUGUAAUGUGUUAGCCCCAAAAUGUCUUGACAAUAUAGAUACCAAGGCCAGAGAGUUGAUACGUUGGGUUUUCAUGUUGUUUUUUUUCAUGUUUGUGGUGGAGAAGCCUUGUCAGACUAUUACUAGGCUCUCGAAACUACCCAUGGAAAUACUGACACAACCUCCAAUGUGGUGUGUAAGCCCCAAAAUGUCUUGACAAUAUAGAUCUUGGUGUCAGAUGUAUGCAGAUGAAUGUACUCCUGAGAUGCAUAUUUUCUCAGAGCUAUGAUAAUAUUUCUUUAUUUUUUGAUGUACAUUUUUUUUUAGUAAUUCAAUAUGUGUAUGCAAACAAAUCAAUUCUCUGAUGCAUAUAUUCCGUCAGUGCUGUGGUGAGGUCCAAACAUAUUUAAUUCCAAUGUCUAAAUAAAAAGGAAAUUGACAGAAGGCCAAAUGUGGGACUUCCAAAGCUGUUCUAGGUAGAGAGCCAUAUAGUAUUACCCAUUAUUGAUACUAGACAUGAUACAUAGAUGCUGACUGCCCUAUAACCAAGAAGAAGAGAGAGGUGGUCUGAGAUGAAGUGGUAGAGGAGGAGGAGGACUGGAGGAGGGAGAGGAAAUGGGGGAGUGGAGGAUGAGCUGGUGGAGGAGGGGAGUGGAGUAUGAGUUGGUAGAGGAGGGGAGCUGAGGGAGUGGAGGAUGAGCUGGUAGAGAAGGGGAGUGGAGGGAGAGGAAAGGAAAGAGGGAGUGGAGGAUGAGCUGGUAGAGGAGGGCAGCGGAGGGAGAGGAAAGGAAAGAGGGGAGUGGAGGAUGAGCUGGUAGAGAAGGGGAGCGGAGGGAGAGGAAAGGACAGUGGGAAGUGGAGGAUGAACUGACAGAGGUGGAGAAAGGAAGGUUAGGAAAUGAGAAGGAAGAGAGAGAGAGAGGGAAGUGGAGCAUAAGGUUAGAAAAGUCUGUGGCAAAGUCCAGUUCAUGAUUAAUAUAAGGAAAGAAAAGAUGAGAAUAAUACGAGGAAAAAAGAAAUGAGGCUUAUUCAGUGAUACAAUAAGCUUGGGUGGACUUCCAGAAAAGGGCGUUAACCCGGUAGCUGCGGGGAUCAUGUUUCUUAAAGGCCCCUCUAAGCGAAUUGAUGAGAAAAAAUCAUCACACGGAAACUAUUUCAUAAUACAUAUCAACGCAUUUGUGAUCAGUUUAUGCGAUAUCUAUUUUUGGGGGGUCUUUAUCAUGGCAAAAAUUUGGCCCGUCGCUGGUACACGGUAAAGCCACAAAUUUGGCCCAGCGCUGCUACUGGGUUAAGCUUACCGAGGUUGAAUGCUGUGGUGGAAGUUAUGAAAGUGUGGCAAAGUCCAAUACAAGAUAAAUACAAGUAAAGAAAAAGUGAGGUUUAUUCAUUGAUACAUAAGCUUGAGUAGGGUUCCAGAAAAGGGGCCUAAGCUUACCGAGGUUGGACGCUGUGGUGGAAAUAAAAAUGGUCUGUCUUGAAGUCCCUCACAAGCUUGAUAUAAUGAAAGAAAUGAGGCUUAUUCAGUGAUACAUAAGCUUGAGUGGGCUUCCUGGAGGGGACUCAAAGCUUACCGAGGUUGGACGCUGUGGUGGAAGUUUGAAUGGUGUGGCAAAGUCCAAUACAAAAUUAAUAUAAAGAAAAAAAAGAUGAGAUAAAGACAGUGAUAAGUGAUACAUAAGCUUGGGUGGGCUUCCAAGGAGGGGUCUGAAGCUUACCGAGGUUGGACGCUGUGGUGGAAGUUUGAAUGGCCUGUCUACCUACUGUUGCUCCCUGUGUCGAGGCGCCCAUGUGUCAGGGGUAGGGAAGGGUGGGGUAAAUAAACACAGUGCCUGCUUGACCGCUUCUUAUAUGACACUGCUCUCACUACUAUGCCCUCUCUGCUAACCUUCUCGCGAUGGUGUGUGUGUGUGUUGCACCGUACACACACACACACACACACACACACACACACCCACACACACACACACCCACACACACAAACACAUUAUUUACACUAGUUUAGAGAAUUAUGUAGGUAAAAAGUGAUAAAUUAGGAGAUAUAACAGGCUUGACUCCAUUAUUUAAGUGUAGAAAUGGGUAAGAACACACACACACACACACACACACACACACACACACACACACACACACACACACGGGACUGUCCGAGCUUGAGUUCAGGCCCUAUAUACUACAAAUAGGUAAAUACAAAUAGGGAAACACACACACACACACACACACACACACACACACACACACACACACACACAUUAUCUGAUAUAGGGUUAACAUAUAUUUUUCUUAAUCAUUAUCCAUGUAAAGACAUGUAUGUAUGGAGAGCAUUCCAUAUUAUUAUUUUGUAUCAUAUUUAUUUUGUGAUAAUUAUGUACUACGACGAUGACAACCAUUCUAUAUUUUUGUAAAGGUAGGAUUGUAAAAUUGUCUCCAUCCAGUUUUCUUGAAUCCUUGUACUAAGAUGUUACUGUUAACUUGUAAAUACAUACAUACCAGCCCACCAUUA